rnacentral:rRNA from 1 species
GGAGGAAAAGAAACUAMCAAGGAUUCCCUUAGUAACUGCGAGUGAAGUGGGAAGAGCUCAAAUUUGAAAUCUGGCAGUCUCUGGCUGUCCGAGUUGUAAUCUAGAGAAGUGUUGCCCGCGCUGGACCGUGUACAAGUCUCCUGGGAUGGAGCGUCAUAGAGGGUGAGAAUCCCGUCUCUGACAUGGACUACCAGGGCUUUUGUGGUGCGCUCUCAAAGAGUCGAGUUGUUUGGGAAUGCAGCUCAAAAUGGGUGGUAAAUUCCAUCUAAAGCUAAAUAUUGGCGAGAGACCGAUAGUGAACAAGUACCGUGAGGGAAAGAUGAAAAGAACUUUGGAAAGAGAGUUAAACAGUACGUGAAAUUGCUGAAAGGGAAACGCUUGAAGUCAGUCGCGUUGGCCAGGGAUCAGCCUUGCUUCUUAGUGUGGUGUACUUCCUGGUUGACGGGUCAGCAUCGGUUUUGACUGCUGGAGAAAGGCUUGGGGAAUGUGGCAGCUCUGGCUGUGUUAUAGCCUCCUGUCAGAUACAGUGGUUGGGACUGAGGAACGCAGCAUGCCGCAAGGCCGGGGCUAAUAUCAGCCUACGUUCAUGCUUAGGAUGUUGACAUAAUGGCUUUA